rnacentral:rRNA from 1 species
UACGUAGGGUGCGAGCGUUGUCCGGAAUUAUUGGGCGUAAAGAGCUCGUAGGCGGUUUGUUGCGUCGGCCGUGAAAACUCAGGGCUUAACUCUGAGCCUGCGGUCGAUACGGGCAGACUUGAGUUCGGUAGGGGAGACUGGAAUUCCUGGUGUAGCGGUGAAAUGCGCAGAUAUCAGGAGGAACACCGGUGGCGAAGGCGGAUCUCUGGCCUUACCUGACGCUGAGGAGCGAAAGCAUGGGGAGCAAACAGG